GGAGUAUGGACCGUGUCUCAGUUCCAUUGUGGGGGACCUUCCUCUCAGAACCCCUACCCAUCGUCGCCUCGGUGGGCCGUUACCCCGCCGUCUACCUAAUGGUACGCGAGCCAAUCCGGUAUCAAUGAAUCUUUUAAACAGAAAUCAUGCGGUCCCUGUUGUUACGGGGUAUUACACGACGUUUCCAUCGACUAUCCCCCAAUACCGGGCAUGUUGCUCACGCGUUACUCACCCUUUCGCCGGUCGCCGCCAGGUAUUGCUACCCGCGAUGCCCCUCGACUUGCAUGUGUUAAGCCUGCCGCUAGCGUUCAUCCUCGAGCCACGGAUCAAACUACU
rnacentral:rRNA from 1 species